AAGUAAAUAAUCCAAUCGUUUUUGUGAUUACAGGGCCCGUGGCGUGGGGUCAACACUUCAGUGAGUUCUCCAAGCUCGGCUUCGUUGGUUCGCCAUUUUGAAAAUGUUCUCGGCGUCGCGUCGCCAUGGCAGGAUUUGAAAAGGCUGGAAUGGGUUCUCGUCCCUACCGCCUCAAAGCGUCGUCGAUACGGUCGACUUUCGCCUGACAGCCGCCACGAGAAAAAACGCAGGUAGGCAUUUUUUUACCCGAUUGCUCCAGAAGGAGGGUUAUUUUAUUUUAUGUACUGAUACAACAAUGUGGUUCUUAUCUCCUAGCCACGCCUUCUGUCCCUUACUCUGCCCCACCUAAAAUGUUUGUGUCUAACAAAAUGGCUAUUGAGUAAAAACAGAAAUUAGCUACUGGCUUUCAUAAUUUCGCCCAAGUAUUUCCUUCACCCUGUAUCGCUCAUAUCAUUGCGGAAUACUAAUCUCCACUGCAACAUGUUUCGUCGUCUUCUGCUCAUAUGACAUGAGCUCGCUGCGCCUGCCUGCGAGCUUCGUGCCUGAGCUCCGAGCCUGAGCUUCGCGCCUGAGCUUCGCCCGCUUGAAACUGCAGAAAAUUAGAAGUGACGAGCUCGCCGCGCCUGCUUGCGAGCGUCAGGCCUGAGCUACGAGCUCUGAGCCUGAGCUACGAGC